GGGACUGUAGCUCAGGGGUUAGAGCAGGCGACUCAUAAUCGCUUGGUCGAGUGUUCAAAUCACUCCAGUCCUACCA
rnacentral:tRNA from 7 species